rnacentral:rRNA from 1 species
UUACUCCUACGGGAGGCAGCAUACUCGUAUGGGAGGCAGCAGUGGGGAAUAUUGCACAAUGGGCGCAAGCCUGAUGCAGCGACGCCGCGUGAGGGAUGACGGCCUUCGGGUUGUAAACCUCUUUCAGCAGGGAAGAAGCGCGAGUGACGGUACCUGCAGAAGAUCACCGGCUAACUACGUGCCAGCAGCCGCGGUAAU